rnacentral:rRNA from 1 species
GUGUCAGCAGCCGCGGUAAUACCAGCGCCCCAAGUGGUGAUCGAUAUUAUUGGGUCUAAAACGUCCGCAGCCGGCCCGGUAAAUCUCCGGGUAAAUCGUCCAGCUUAACUGGUCGAAUUCUGGGGAGACUGCCGGGCUUGGGACCGGGAGAGGUCGGAGGUACUCCAGGGGUAGGGGUGAAAUCCUGUAAUCCCUGGGGGACCACCGGUGGCGAAGGCGUCCGACUAGAACGGGUCCGACGGUAAGGGACGAAGGCUAGGGGAGCAAACGGGAUUAGAUACCCCGGUAGUCCUAGCUGUAAACGCUGCGGGCUUGGUGUUGGGGGUCCUUCGAGGGCGCCCAGUGCCGGAGAGAAGCCAUUAAGCCCGCCGCCUGGGGAGUACGGCCGCAAGGCUGAAACUUAAAGGAAUUGACGGGG